rnacentral:rRNA from 1 species
GGAAUAUUGGGCAAUGGAGGAAACUCUGACCCAGCGACGCCGCGUGCGGGAUGAAGGCCUUCGGGUUGUAAACCGCUUUCAGUAGGGAAGAAGCGAAAGUGACGGUACCUACAAAAGAAGCACCGGCUAACUAUGUGCCAGCAGCCGCGGUAAUACAUAGGGUGCAAGCGUUGUCCGGAAUUAUUGGGCGUAAAGAGCUCGUAGGUCGUUUGUUACGUCGGAUGUGAAAACCUGAGGCUCAACCUCAGGCCUGCAUUCGAUACGGGCAAACUAGAGUUUGGUAGGGGAGACUGGAAUUCCUGGUGUAGCGGUGGAAUGCGCAAAUAUCAGGAGGAACACCAAUGGCGAAGGCAGGUCUCUGGGCCAAUACUGACACUGAGGAGCGAAAGUCUGGGGAGCGAACAGGAUUAGAUACCCUGGUAGUCCAGACCGUAAACGGUGGGCACUAGUUGUGGGAACCUUCCACGGUUUCUGCGACGCAGCUAACGCAUUAAGUGCCCCGCCUGGGGAGUACGAUCGCAAGAUUAAAACUCAAAGGAAUUGACGG